rnacentral:rRNA from 1 species
UACAGAGGUCCCAAGCGUUGUUCGGAUUCAUUGGGCGUAAAGGGUGUGUAGGUGGCGCGCUAAGUCGGGUGUGAAACCUUGGGGCUCAACCCCAAGCCUGCACUGGAUACUGCCUCGCUUGAGUCCGGGAGGGGAGAGCGGAAUUCCUAGUGUAGCGGUGAAAUGCGCAGAUAUUAGGAAGAACACCGGUGGCGAAGGCGGCUCUCUGGAACGGUACUGACGCUGAGACGCGAAAGCGUGGGGAGCGAACGAGG